rnacentral:rRNA from 1 species
GAAAAGAAAUUUAAUAAUUUUGGCGGUUAAUUGUUGUUUGGAGGAGCUUGUGCUAUUAUAGAAUUUACUCUUUAUAUUUUAUUGAUAAUAAUUUAUUCAUCUCCGUUAUUAGUCUUUAAAGAGGAAGGUUUAAUAAAAUUAUUAUUUAAUAUUUCAGGUCAAGAUGUAGUUUUUAUUUAGAACGUAUUAGCUACAUUUAUGAAAUUAGUGGAUUAUAUAAAUAGUUAUAGUUAAGUUUGGGAUUUUGUGUAAGAAAUUGAAUUUAGUUGUAAUAGUAACUAAGAUGUUAUUGUGAAUUAUUUUAAUUAAUGUACAUAUUGCCCGUCACUUCUAUUAACAUAGAAUAAGUCGUAAC